UGCGGUUAUACAAAAAUUAAAUUAAAUUUUUUUAGGAUUUAAUAAAUAAAUAUUUUAAAUAAUUUUAAAUAUUAAAUUAUAAGGUAAAAUUUUAAUUUAAUUAAAUUUUAUUUAUUUUUAUGACAUUAAUAAAUUUUUUAAAAAACUAGGAUUAGAUACCCUAUUAUAAAAAUUUAAAUUAAAUAAUCUUAAAAUAGUAUAUAAUUUUUUAUAGAAACUUAAAUAAUUUGGCGGUAUUUUAGUUCAUUUAGAGGAAUCUGUCUAAUAAUUGAUAAUCCACGAUUAAAUUUACUUAAUUUUUAAUUUUGUAUAUCGUUGUUAAAAAAAUAUUUUUUAAUAAAUAUAAUAUUUUAAAAUUUAUAUAAAAAAUUAAAUCAGAUCAAGAUGCAGAUUAUAAUUAAGAAUAUGAUGGAUUACAAUAAAUUUUAUUUUAUUUGGAUAUUAAUUUGAAAUAAAUUAAUUGAAAUUGGAUUUAAAUGUAAUUUUAUUAAUUUUGUUAAAAUGAUUAAAAAUUAAAAUAUGUACAUAUUGCCCGUCGCUUUCAUUAAUAAAUUGAAAUAAGUCGUAACAAAGUAGAGGUACUGGAAAGUGUCUCUAGAAAGAUU
rnacentral:rRNA from 1 species